GGCAGGAGGAUCCAGGGGGCAGCAGCUGCACUUCCCUGAAGGGUCUCUCCCUGGGUGGCGGGUUCUAGAGCUCAGGCUCACCCUAGAUCCACUGCCCACCAAAGCCACCAGGAGGAGUCCGGAGGGCAGCCGGUGCUGGGGGCACGACAACCUGGACGUGUUCCUACAAGCACAGGGCACGCCUGGCCUGCCCUCUCCAGGAGAGCCGAAGAACCGCCUGCCUGCCUGAAGCUUCUCUACAGCCUGAAGGGAACAGGUGUCUGCUUCCUGAAGGAACAGGAGGGCUCUCCUCCACAGGACAAAGCCCUCCCCUGGCCCUGGAGGAAAGGUCCUGCAGAGGCUGGUUCUGCGCGACACUGCCCAAGGCAAAGGAGCAACCGCGGACCAAACAAUCAUCUGGAGAUGACUGCACAAGUCCUGUCUGUACAUGUGGAGCGAGAAUGAGAAAGCAAAUGUGGGGAAAUGUUAACUGGUGCACCUGGGUGAGGGAUAUAGGAUGUGACCAUUCUGGCAACUGUUUGGGUAUGUUUCAAAGUUUGUUUGUUUGUUUGUUUGUUUGUUUGUUUGUUUGAAAGGCGGGACAAAGUCAAGUCCCAGGUUCUCUUUAGAGGAAAACGCUUGAAGUGAGACCUUGGGUUUCUGAGGUGAAUGGAAGGGAGCCGCUGGCCUGGCUUCUCAUCCCAGCUCUCCUCACCCAGCCUGGCCAUUACAAGGACCCGGACUCCUGACCUCCCGUAUUUUAGGGGCUCAGUGCACAGCCACUUCUGCAAGCGUCCCUGGGUGCACACCAGACUUCGGGGGAUGAAAAGGCAAAUCCUAAGUAUGGAGACAGCGCCACAAAGUCUCCUGGAUUGGAAUCGAACCUGAGCAGUAGCGGUGAAAAAUCCAAAUCCCAUCCCACCGAUCCGAUCCCGGGGAAUCCACCCACACAGGAUCCCUGCUUUGGCCCCUGCAGAUGAAAACCCUGAAAGUCAAGGUGACAUUUCCCAGGCGGACAGAGCACAAGCGGAGGCGAUUCCCAGCGGCGCGGGGCUGAAUGCAGCCGCACAAGGCUCCCAGCCCUUGCCCUGCUGCUCACCACCUCUUCCAGCCUCAGCGACCCCUUGGGCCUUGACCACAAGGUGACUGGCCUGUGCCACACUCUAGUCCAGCUGGAGCCGUGUGUGUUGCAGAGCCAAGGCCGUGCUCUCUUUCUGAGCCUCGUUUGCUGAUGGGCAAAUAAAUACACCUGUUGCGCAAGUGUGCCGCCCAGGGAA